UCUGUCGACGAUUCUAACUUUUCACUCGCCCAUUGUCUAUGUUAUUAUUUUCUUUUAACUGGCGACGAAGAAAUUCUAUGCUAUAGAAAACCCACUUAGAAUCACAGCAUGAUCUGCUUUGCACUAAAUACGCUUAAGCAAUAAACAUACAAAUAUUUCUGGUGACUUUAUCUAAAUUUAAAUGACAACUUCUUCAAGGCAAAAACUAUAUAAAUCAAUCAAAAUUGCUUGAAAUAUUAAAGUCUUAUCGUUUCGUUGUUCGCAUUUAAUGGAACCGCAUACUUUCGUCUAAUACUCUACAAAAUAAAAGUUCAUAGAAAGGGGAGUGAAACGAAACGGCUCGUUGCUUCCACAAAGUUGGUUAUGCCUUCAAGUGGAGCUGUAUUGCAAUCGCUAGCCAAAAUCUUCGAGCUUCAUAUAACAGGUAACGCGAUGGAAUAAAUUGCAGGUGAGCAUGGAAAACAAAGGCCUAACUCAGUUGGGUAAUUGGGUUAGGCACAGCAACAAGACCUUCAAAGAAACACCCAAACAAAAAUUGCGAACAAGUGUCAAAAGAGACGGUAAAGAGACUACAACUCAACAUAUGUACAACAAUGGCAAUGGUAAAUGGCAGAUAUGAAAUCAAUUACUUACAUGCAGCAAACAAUCUAUCGUUGAUAAGAAUUCAAUUAUGUUAAUACCGAAUUUUGGGUAUCCCGAAUAGGUCAGACUGUACAUUAUGCAACAAACAAUGACUUGUUUCUCAGGUACUCUUUAGCUAUGGUUUUGAGAUUAUUAUAAGUACAUUUAGCUUGUGA